AAUGCUGUUUACUAAGGUCAAAGGACCUCUUAGGGACAGACUUUUUUUGGAGGCAUCUAAAAGUCUCCACCACACACACAACACUUUCUGUCUCUCCUUGUGGUUGUAAAUAGCUGGUUUUAAUAACAUAAAGUGCAAAAAAUGCCCUUUUGCAUAGGUAGAAAUGCUAUUUCUCUGGUAUCCUGGACAUGUAAGUGCUCCUGUCUGAGCAUGUGCAGCAGGCUGCACCCUGCCCAGGAAGCUGCUCUUCCUUUCACUUUCCAGCUUAACAAGUGCUGCAAGAUGAAAACGCAUAUGGAAGUUUGAAAUUUAAAAACUGAACAGAAAAGCUACAAUUAAAUCCUACAGCUCUUUUACUGCAGGAAUUAGACGUGGAACUUGCGAUUUGACAUGCUGAAGGACUUUUUCCAGAUUGACAAAACCUAAGACAUGUUUCGGAGGCAGAGCACAGCACUGCUCAGCAGGAUCAGCCAGGCUGGAGGAUGACUUUCUCAGCAGCGCAGCAGCAUAAAGGGAUGUUGGAGUCAUAGUUGACUCCAAGAUGAACCAGAGUCGUCAAUGUGAUGAAGCGAUCAACAAGGCUAACUGCACUUUAUCAGCCAUUAGCAGAUGCAUGACAAUCAGGUCAAGGACGGUGAUGCUUUCCCCUGUAUGCGGCACUGAUCGGGCCGCAAUUGGAGUAUUGCACCCAGUUUUGGAUACCGCACUUCAUGGCUGAUGUGGAUUGACUUCAGUAGGAAUGUAGAGGGAAGCAAGAAGACUUGAUACAAUUUUUAAAUUGUUUCAAUUGUCAUCUUUUAUGAAUCUGCAUUGUAAUGCUGUCUACUUCCACUGCUACAUCUCUAAUAUAGAAAUAAAUAAUGCUUUUCUUAAAGCCUAAGCUCCUCAAUUCCUGCUAUUAAAUGAUAUUUACUGCUCUAA